rnacentral:lncRNA from 1 species
UAUAUGUCUGGCAAUUAAAACUUUGUCUUCUGGAAAUUAGCGAAUUCUCUUUUUUUCUCCAGAAGUGUUUGUUACAAGAUUUGUAAAUAAGAGCUCUACUUAGUUUGUUUACCAAGAACAUGUUGCAGCAAACCUUUUACACCUAAUUCCCACGAGGUUGAAGUAACGACUUUUAAGAUUUGCCAGGGUAAGCAGCAGCCAGGUUCUCAGUCAUUGUUGGCCUUGAUUCAUCUUUCAGACUUCAUUUUCCCAGCUCUAAAAUUCCCAGUAUUCCUUAAUUGUAGUCCUUUUAUGUUCUAGAAGCAGGAAGGGGGAAAGAGAAGACCCUGCUUAAAUGUAUUUAAUUGUCCAUGGGCCGAGGCCCGGGCAUCCCUCAAGACUGUAAUGUUGCUGGGUAUAUGUGAUCAGACACCAGAGGGCUGGGCAUUCUUGCAGCACCUUAACAGUGCUGAUACCUGCAGCAUGGUACUAAGGAAGUUAAAAGUUUGAAUGUAACCACUUUAUUUAAAAGUUUUUUUCUUUUAAUUUAAAUGAAAUGGGGGUUGAAGUGAACAUGAUUUUGUUGACCAUGUCCGUGAUUUCUAGAUGCAACAUGCAUUGGUAGACUUGUGCGAUGGUCUUUUGUGAUACUUAAUUUUUACAUAUCCCAGUCUCUGUAUGUAUCUGCAUAAACAAAGAUAAAACAAACUCCUGCUUUCUUUUAUUGAAGGGUUUCCAGGACUGCGUGUCUGUUCCUGAGCUCUGUUUUAAGUAUGUGUAUCCUUUGCUUGUAUUUUGUAUUAAAAAAUAAGAAAAAAGAACACUUUAUUGUUGAGCAUGUUGGCAUUGUCCCUUUUAUUUUUUUCUCUUUUUGGGACAUAUGAAGCAAGUUAUUCUUUUUCUGUAUCUUUUUUUCUUUUGUAAACUUUUUUUGUUUUGUUUAAAAAUGGCUUUAUAAAAGGGCUUUUGUAACCC